ACGGCUCUGGCGGGGAUUCCGGUGGCGGCGGUGGAGCGGCUGCGGCUGCGGCUGGUCGACGCGGAGCGGGCGUCCGACCCGCACGAGCCGCCC
rnacentral:tRNA from 1 species